rnacentral:sRNA from 1 species
AGCGAAUUUUUUUACGAUUCCUACGCUUUUAUGAAUUACGAUUUUUUGUUUUUCCAAAAUAUUUUUUGAGAACGUGGUUAAAUUAAUUUUAUACAAUGUGUAUAAGGAAGACUUAGGAGGUUUCACAAUGCAAGGUAAAGUAAAAUGGUUUAAUUCAGAAAAAGGUUUUGGAUUCAUCGAAGUUGAUGGCGGAGACGAUGUAUUCGUUCACUUCUCAGCAAUUCAAGGUGACGGUUUCAAAACAUUAGAAGAAGGACAAAAAGUUACAUUUGAUAUCGUUGAAGGUAACCGUGGUCCUCAAGCUGCUAACGUUAUUAAGCUAUAAUUCUUAUAGAAUAUAGAAAAUAUCAGAAGCGAAAGUCUCUCUUACAACAGAGAGACUUUUUU